rnacentral:ribozyme from 1 species
CGCGCGUUUUCGAACAAAGAGAGUGGGAUCCCGAGGUGAUGCAAGUACUGGUGUUUCCAGAACGCGCACUUGAGCUCGAUGGAUCGUUUCAGUUCUUCGCCUUGGGGAUGCUCGGACACGUGCGUGCGUCUUCUGCGACUGUUGGAUGGCGCAGACGCAGUGGCGGAAGAAGGCACGACAAGCGAUGAG